CGAGACCUCAGGUCAGGUGGGGUUACCCGCUGAGUUUAAGCAUAUCAAUAAGCGGAGGAAAAGAAACUAACAAGGAUUCCCUUAUUAACGGCGAGCGAACCGGG
rnacentral:rRNA from 1 species